AUACGAAGGGGGCUUGCGUUGCUCGGAAUCACUGGGCGUAAAGGGCGCGUAGGCGGCCGCGCUGGUCGGGCGUGAAAUCCCCGGGCUCAACCCGGGGGCUGCGCCCGAGACGGCGGGGCUGGAGGUCGGGAGAGGCUCGCGGAAUUCCCAGUGUAGAGGUGAAAUUCGUAGAUAUUGGGAAGAACACCGGUGGCGAAGGCGGCGAGCUGGCCCGAUCCUGACGCUGAGGCGCGACAGCGUGGGGAGCAAACA
rnacentral:rRNA from 1 species